UACGUAGGGUGCGAGCGUUAAUCGGAAUUACUGGGCGUAAAGCGUGCGCAGGCGGUUUUGUAAGCCAGAUGUGAAAUCCCCGGGCUCAACCUGGGAAUGGCGAUGGAGACUGCGAGGCUAGAGUUUGGCAGAGGGGGGUAGAAUUCCACGUGUAGCAGUGAAAUGCGUAGAGAUGUGGAGGAACACCGAUGGCGAAGGCAGCCCCCUGGGUCAAAACUGACGCUCAUGCACGAAAGCGUGGGGAGCAAACAGG
rnacentral:rRNA from 1 species